rnacentral:rRNA from 1 species
AGUGGCGGACGGGUGAGUAACGCGUGAGCAAUCUGCCUUACAGAGGGGGAUAACAGCUGGAAACGGCUGCUAAUACCGCAUGAUAUGCACUGGGGACAUCCUUGGAGCAUCAAAGAUUUAUCGCUGUAAGAUGAGCUCGCGUCCAAUUAGAUAGUUGGCGGGGUAAUGGCCCACCAAGUCGACGAUUGGUAGCCGGACUGAGAGGUUGAACGGCCACAUUGGGACUGAGAUACGGCCCAGACUCCUACGGGAGGCAGCAGUGGGGGAUAUUGCACAAUGGGGGAAACCCUGAUGCAGCAACGCCGCGUGAAGGAAGAAGGUCUUCGGAUUGUAAACUUUUGUCUUGCGGGACGAAUAAUGACGGUACCGCAGGAGGAAGCCACGGCUAACUACGUGCCAGCAGCCGCGGUAAUACGUAGGUGGCGAGCGUUGUCCGGAAUUACUGGGUGUAAAGGGUGCGUAGGCGGAUUUGCAAGUCAGACGUGAAAACUAUCGGCUUAACCGGUAGCCUGCGUUUGAAACUGUGAGUCUUGAGUGGUGAAGAGGUAAGCGGAAUUCCUAGUGUAGCGGUGAAAUGCGUAGAUAUUAGGAGGAACACCAGUGGCGAAGGCGGCUUACUGGGCACUAACUGACGCUGAGGCACGAAAGCAUGGGGAGCAAACAGGAUUAGAUACCCUGGUAGUCCAUGCCGUAAACGUUGAUUACUAGGUGUAGGGGGUAUCGACCCCCCCUGUGCCGCAGUUAACACAAUAA